AAAUCAUCCACAUCUGUGACCUGGGCCGAACAUUAAUUGGCAUUGCAAUUUUUCUACCUGAGGCUAACCACGGCAAUCCUCUGAUAGGCGGUUCUACAAGUACAGGACACCAACUGAUGGAUCUCAGUGCUGACCAAAAUUCUUCUCCAGUCAUAUCGUCGAUCCAGUUGCUGAGAAAUGAAAUAAUUCCUGACAGGUUGUCA
rnacentral:misc_RNA from 1 species